UACGGGGGGGGCAAGCGUUGUUCGGAAUUACUGGGCGUAAAGGGCUCGUAGGCGGCCAACUAAGUCGGAUGUGAAAUCCCCAAGCUUAACUUGGGAACUGCAUCCGAUACUGGAUGGCUUGAAUCCGGGAGAGGGAUGCAGAAUUCCAGGUGUAGCGGUGAAAUGCGUAGAUAUCUGGAGGAAUACCGGUGGCGAAGGCGGCAUCCUGGACCGGCAUUGACGCUGAGGAGCGAAAGCUAGGGGAGCAAAGCGGG
rnacentral:rRNA from 1 species